CACAGCAACACCAGCAUAGUUACACACACAAACACACACAUGCACUUCCAUUGCUCUUUAUCACAAGUUGCAGUAACCUGGAGAAACUCGGGGGUUUGGUCGCAGCUAACAGGGGACAUUCUCAGCACUUUGGCUAACAUUUUGGCAAGGUUCUCGCAAAGUUAUGAACAAACUGCACCUUUAACCAUCUAAAUUCAAAAUACUGUUGAGUUAACUAUUUGUAACUGUUUAGCAACAUUUAGAGGCCAUUUACACAACACUGUUUUCAAUGUUUUGGACAUUAAUUUACACGACAACGCGUUUUAGAGGCCUGAAAAUGCAAACUUUUGAAAACGGGUUUCAAAGUGCACGUUUUUGAAAACGAUACAGUCAUCAUCUCUGUGUAAACUACAAAAGCACACAUUUGUGAAAACGAUGAUGUCAUGCUACUCAGUCUAUAGGUGCAUAGUGUUUCUAUAAAAAGUGACAUCGCCAACUACUGGCCUGGCAUACAUAAUACAGCGUUUUUAGUCAUUUUUGUAGAUCCAUAUGAACGGGGAUAGUUUUGACAAUGUUGUCGUCUGCACAUGAAAAACAGAAAGGAAAACUUUUCCAUUUUUUAUGCAUCAUUGCCAGGUAAACACACCCUUAGUCAUUAAAAUAUGCCAGAAUGGGUAACUGGGUUGGCAAAGGGUUCAGACAUCUUUCAAACUGCAAUAUAUUAUUUCAAUAAACAUAUACAAAAAUUAGAUACAAUGACAUCUUGUCAUCUCUCGAACAUUGAAAGUAAACUUAACAGUGCAAAAGUGUUAAAUCACUUUCAGCAGACCAUAAAUAAAGUACGUAUCAACGUACGCAACCACUCAACCCAGAUGUGAUGUAUUCUAAUCAAAACUUUAAGCAUGAGGUGAGAAUUACCAAUAUUUACCAAUAAAACUAUAAUCUUCAAGCAAUAUAUCUAAAAAAAAUAGAUGGUUAUGAAUAAUUAUACCCGAAAUAAUUAUUUAUGACAUAAUUAUUUAUGUUGAUUAGCCUGAGAAAACCUGCAAAGCUUUUACUUUCAUCAUAUUGUUGGUCAUUUGUUUUGAGUGGAUAUAUUCAUACAUUCUUUAUUCACUUAUUUUACCAUGGUGAAUAAGCGGAGGGUAACGGCUGCUUCACGACCUGUUUAAAAGGAAUCCUGAUAAAUAAAGUCACCCAUAAAGAUACCAAAACAAAAGUGUGUGUGUGUGUGUGUGUGUGUGUGUGUGUGUGUGUGUGUGUGUGUGUCAACCUACAGCAAACACAAGCAAUCUAAAACAAACAAGAACUCAACAAGCCUCUAGGGGACAUUACCAACACACGCACACAAACACGCUGUGAUUACCACUGAACUACCUAAACAUCUCCUGGGAUUCGUUUUCUAUACAAAACCACAUUAAUGCAAAAAUAUAUUGUUUCACUAUUGCAACUGCCUCAGCUGCAUCAUUUUACAAUACUUUUGGAUAAUUUGUGUAAAAUGUCAUUAAAAAUGCAAUGAUUUACUGUAGAUUUACAUUAGAAUAGAGCAAAUGAGCCACUGUGAUGUAGCUGCUGUAUCACUGUUUAGUUCCAGCUUGCAUGUUGACAGAUCCUGGGACAUUUUCUCUUGUUUCCAGAAAACAGUGAAGGAUUUGAAUGAAUGUGUGAUAGACAACGGAAUAAUAUCCCUGUCUAAAUAGUGACUAAAGACUGAUUAUGACACUUCAUCGCCUCAGAGGGAGGCAUCUGCUGUAAUGGAGGAUUUCCUGCAGCUCAUAAAGAGCUUGAAAUGCUCCUCAUUGUCUCUGAAAUCAUUAUAACACUCUUUCAGAGUGCUGUGAUUCAGUGAAGAUUUAAAGAUGUCCUUAAUUUAUGCCAACCAAGUGCCAAGGUCUUGGUUUUGAAAUUUGUACAUCUCAAGGUUUAAUUCAUAAUUUAACAUCCCAGUAAAAGGAAACAAUCUCAGUAGAAGAGGGCGCUUAAUUGUCUUGAAAAUGUCACGAUGCAAAAAAAAAAAAAAAAAAAAAAAACAUGUUAUUCAUUUUCUUUAUGCAAAAUACAAUUUGUAAUUUCUGUCUUUUGAUUUUGGGGGGAAAUAUGACCUGGACAUGUUCUUGGCAGGUUUCAUGUCCAAAAUUUCCUGAUGUUUCCUAUGUUAUCCAUUUAAAACAUUUCCAGUAAUCUUCCCUUGUGCAUUAACACAAAUUUUCAUAUCUUUCUGCAAACAUUCUAAUCCAUAUCCUCUUGUGACCUUCACAGGCUGCAAGCUUCAUAACGCAGUGGAUGGGCGUCUAAUUUUAGCUCUUCUGUGGUGUGUAGGCAUCGUCUGUUAUGAGCUACUUGGCAGCUAAAGUUACAUGUCAGUCUGUUUUUCUAAACAUGCAGGUAUAAAAUUACUAUAAAAGCUACAGAAAGCUGCUGAGGGAUCAUUCUGAAGUCUGCCAAACUAUACUUGUGUCUGUCCCCAACAUGGUGUCAUACUAGCUGAUAGCAGGUUUAAUCUGUUGCUGGUGAGUUUAGACACUUUCACAAUUACGCUAAACUAGAUUUUGCUUAACAUAAGCAUAUAUUUGGUUCAUGGAUCAGUUUAGCAAUUUACCUGACCUCUGUACUUCUGUAUAUUAUUUCUGCCACCCACUGACACAAACACAAAUCAAGCAGUUGAGUAAAAGCACAGAUACCUUAAUACAAUAUUACUCCAGUAAACGUAUAAGUACUCGUUUUCAAUUUUUUUUAAUAAAAGUACAAAAGAACUAGAUUUUUAAAAAAUAUAUAUAUUUAAGUACUAAAAGUACUUAUAGAUGAAUCAUGUUUAUUAUUUAUUGUAGCUGGCACUAGUCAGAAUAGUCAUUAGUUAAUUAAUAAGAAAUAUUAGUGCAGAGUCUGCAGACCUUUAAUAUGUGUUAUCUGCAAAUAAGCAAACUUUUUUUAUUAUGAAAAUUAUUAUAUUAUUAAUAGUAUUUAUUUAAUUAAAAUGGAUUAUACAUAUUAUCAAAACAUUGAAACUGUACUAAAAUAUGGAUUUAAGUUAAUGAUAAUUCAAGUGAGUUACCGAAAACAAGUUAAAUCAUAUACCAUAUAGUAUUUUUAAAAUGAGAAAAAAUAAAAUUUGUGUAAAAUGUGGCAAAAUUAGUAUAUGGGGCAAAAUGUGAGGAGGAACAUUAUGCAAACAUUUUAGUUUUGAGAUGCAUGGGCAUUCAUUUGUGUUAUUUAACCAAAAAUUCUUAAGUUCUUGACUCAAAAAUGGCUGCAUUCGGAUCAGUCUGAUUCACAAAUUCAGUGUGAUCUGUGAAAUGUAGUAAUGUGAAAGCAAAAUAUUAUGCUUUGGAAUGUAGUGAAAUAAACGUUUCCCAGAAAAAGAAAAAAAAUACUCUUUCAACUACAGGUACUUGAAAAUUGUACUUAAGUACGGUAACAAGGUAAACAUACUUUGUUAUACUCCACCACUGUUUAUUGUUAUCCUAACUGGAUACUACUGGAAUGCCUCAGAGUUCAGGGUUAGGGCAAUUUCUCUUCUCAAUAUACACAACAGAGCCAAUUAUAAAGGUACAUCAGUCUACAAUCUCAGCUUGUAUCACAGCUAUACCUUUCAGAUAUUUUCAUUUCUAGCUUACCUUUAAAAAUUUGCCCUUUCAGCACUGCUAAUAGUGUUGGCUCAUUUAUGAUAAACUGCUAUGAUAAACUGUCAAUCCAGAAAUUACCAGAUGCAUGCUCACUCACAAUAAACUCUGCUAAUUUAUUUGCAAGCUUUAUGGAAAGGCCAACAAAUAACGUACAAGACACUUAUCCAAAGCUCAGCACAACGUUAAUUGCGUACUGGCUCUGGGUGUGUGUAAGUCUUUAAAGCAAAGCCAAGGUCGACGUGUGAAUCAAGCUCUUUAAACGAGCCAAAUUUCACCUGCCAUAAAGCCAAGUGCCUGCAGUCAGCCUUAGAGAAACAGAGGCAAUGCUGCUAAUAAUUAUUGAACAUGACAAUCCAUGCUGCUUAAAAAAAUCAAUGCCUUUCAGGCUAUAUGUAUUGCUGGAAAUCAAAAUAUGCCUGUGAGACUGUAUGUUUUCUCUUUUGAGAGGAAUCGAUCUUUGAUAUCCGCUUUACAAUACAGAACCUCAAAUUCUCUUUUCACCAAACAGCAAGAACUCUCCAAGUUCAGCCAAAUACAUUUGUCCUUGGUCCGCUCCGGGCAUGAGGGAGGUUUUUCCCUGGGACAUUUUCUAUUCAUAUUUCUCAAGCUAACGGCAAAAUACUUUUUGUAGCUUUGCUGCAUAAUUAAAUAUGGAUUUCUGGAGUCAGGCAUUGUUUUAGCAGCAUUUUCUAUGAAUACAGUACACUUUGGUGUCCCUUUCUUUUAAAGCAGAGGCACAUUGUUUUCUGAUGUGUGACAUAUUAGAUUCAUUAGACGAACUACGGUCUAACAGAAAAUUAAUGUAGUGUGAAAAAUAGCUAUCAAAUGCUGAUUUUGAUCUGUAUCUAACAAUUAAAAUCAUGAAUACUCUCACAUAAUCUAUGGGACUGAUAUUCCAUUCACAGUGGCUUUUUACAAUAAAGGAAACUCAUUCGGUAACAUGUCAGGGAUCCAUUUGGGACAGUUUUAUAAUACAAACCCUCCCAAAUAAAUCUCAAACAUUUUACUCUGAGUUUCCCUCAUUGCAAAGACCACAUUUUGAGGAACAGAUUUUAAAUAAAUGUAUAAAUAAAUGUUGUCAAUUUAUUUAAUGUUCAUUUUUUAUGGUUAAAACAAAACAAUAAACAAAUAAAUCUUCCUUAGGUUAACAAUUGAGACAACUGUCAAUUGACAAUUGCACCUCAUUCACGGAAAGUGCUGUUUACAACAGUAGCAUGUAUAUGAAUGUAUAUGUAUAUGAAGACAUGAAAGGUAUUAGGAAAAUAGGAAAUGUCUUGAGCUGUUAAUUGAUACUUUUGGAUUCCUCUUCAUUUUCAUCUUAAAAUUGGCAUCUACACAGAAAUCAAAACCGUUUCACAAAGAUCAGUGGUGUAUUUUUAACACAGUCAAGUAAAGUCAGUGACUGUUUGGUUUCCAACAAGAAAUCUCUCCCCACACACACACACACGCACACACGCGCACACACACACGCACACACACACACACAAUUAAUCAGCAUUACAUUUUUAAAUCACCUCACAAAUUAAACGGUACUUCACUCUGCCAGUUCUCUGAUUAACUGCAGAAAAAACGCCACAGCAGUGGCAGAGAUGCGUCCUCAAGCUAACAGCGAGCAAAUAACCGCCGUUAAUUGUUAUUUAAGUUGUGCUCUCCACAUGAUUGUAAGUUUUUCGAGGAGAAAGGUUAUUGACGAAAACAUUUCAAAGCAUAAAUUAAUUGAGCUGCGUUUGCCAUAUGCUAUGUUAGCACUUCUGCUCGCGGCCACGAUGAGGUUUUUCUGCUGGAGGACAAAUAAAUCACACCAAAGAGAGAAAAACAGCUGUGUAGGUCAAUCGAGAAGGUGAGAGAAAGAGAAAUUCAGGGUUUCUGAGGUCAAAAAGCGAUAAUACGAGAGGGGAAUUUUAAACAUUAAAUUAAAAGUUAGAAGUGCAUGAGAUCAUUUUUCCCAGCGACAUGCAUUUACCAUCUUUAACAUCAAGGGCAAAACGGAUCCCAAGCGCUCAUCUUAACUCUCAUUAUACACUAGAGUACAGUAUAUCUCCCUUCCUCACGUCACUUGGCGCAGUAUAAUGGUGCGGUCGCCCUGUGAAGAGAGUCGCUAGCAGCCGCAGGCCGAACGAAAACCCCCUGGUGACCAUUUACACACAUUAAUGACGCUCAGGUCAUCGAGCAACCAAUGGAUGUCUUGCCUAAUACGCUGCUGACAGGGGGAAAGCAGCUAUGACUAGCAGGAGCUUUUAGGUUGCUGUUAGACUUCAGCAUUUAUACGCAUUUAACUCUUUAAAAUAAAAGCGUCUGGUGGAACAUUGUGGUAAUGUGUUUUUAAUUGUGUCUAAAUCAUUAUUAUUUAUAUACUAUUACACUUUUUAUUAAAAUUUUGAAUUAGCUUUUAUUUUUUAUAUUCUCAGUUUCCACUUUAAUUAGUUAACUUUAGUUAGUAAUAGGGCUGCAUGAUUUAUCGCACGAUACAAAAAAUAACAUUGAAUCACGUACUAAGAAUCACAUUUAUUGCUUAAACGUGAUUAUUAGUGCGAUUAUUUUUUUAUGUGCAGCUUGUCAAUGAAGUAAGGCUCCAAAUGCUAAUCCAUCUGAAAGCACUGCGAGUUUGAGUCACUUAUAAUGUACAUUUAAAAAAGCAACGCGCGUCAAACAUCUUUCCAGACAUGAGAAGCAUUUAUUAACAUCUUGUCUAACAAAAGACAACAUUUAAUAACAUGUUUUUACUCCAAACUCACUUCAUAACGACAGUUGAGCAUCCUUCUGUGAGAUGAUGUGGUUUCUUACACAGAAUAAAGCAGUCGUGUGUUUAUUAGUCAUGUUUAAUCAAAGCGUUUCAAGCUUCUGCUUAUUCAGCUACAGUGAUAUGAAGCAUGUUAUCUUCUGCGGCAGGGCAUAUUAAGAGUUUCUGUGCAAGAGCACCCUCUGGCUUUCAGAUGGAGAAGCAUUUACUACUGAUCACAGAGCCGUACAGCUCUGACAAGCUGCGCAUAAAAUAAUCACUAAUUAUAAUAAUCAAUAAUCAGCCUUUGCCAAAUCGCCUGCGGUUUAAUCGCGAUAAAUUGUGCAGCCCUAGUUAGUAAAAAAUAGUAGUGAAAAAAUACUUCUAAAUCAUGUAUUAACCCUAGUUAAUGUUAUACAAUUAACAGCUGUAUGUUAAUAACUAACAUUAAUAGUUUUUUUUUUUUUUUUUUUUUGUAAUAUUUCUAUUUAGCUUUAUUUUUUUAUUUUUUUUUAUUUUUACUAAAUUUAGUACUCCACUUAUUUUAUUUCAUUUAGGUGCCAAUGUAACAUUUUUAAUUUACAUUUUCUCUCUAAUAUUUGUAGUUAUAUUUUGUUUCAUUUAUAUUUUUAUCUAUAUUUCAAUUAGCAAAAAAUAAAUAAAUAAAUAAAUACAAAUAUUUUUAAUAGUAUUAGUGAACAAAAACAACACUGGUCUAAAUAUUUUCUAGGCCCACUGUAUACAUUUAGACCACAUUAGUGUAGCCGUUGCUACUAAAAUGGAAGCGCCACUCUCUCGUUAGACGCAAAACUCCCUAACGCGCUGGUCUAAUCACAGCAGACUACAGAGGACGACACACUAAUUAAAUACAGCUAAUUGAGUCUCUGCGGACCGGCCAAACGUGAUUAGUUACUGUUUACCCGCUCAAGUUAGCAGGGUUUGUUUAACUGACAAUGAGCGAAGCCAGAGGAGGCCGAUGUGGCGCACACACGCAGCUGGAAAUUAAAAGGCCGUGCAGCGUAAUUGAUUCUUUUGCUUAUCUGCAAGAAAUGCUGUGAGCGAGAUCCCAAGUAUUCUUUCUGUUGGCUGCGGAGCUCAAAAACACACAGAGCUGCAGACAGUUAAUGGAUUUUGGUUGGGAAUCGAUCAGCAACAUUGCCCGACUGAUGCACGUAUUAGAUUGAGCUUUGCUUCAGCGUCGUCGGCGCUGCCGGCAGAUUUUUUUUUUUUUCCCUGGAUGAGGUUAUUCGCUGUGGAAAAUCCCCCACGGCCAUAAUAAGAUAUAUUUGUUGGACGUUUUGAGCGAAGGCAAUCUCCUUAGAGCCGCUGUCACAGGUCAGCUGGUGUAAAGACGCAUUGUGCUGCGGUCAUCCCUCCCACCGCAAAAGCGCAGAUUACCAACAGAGACAAAUAGCAGGAAACCCUUCAAGUAUGACUGCCAUCCCAGCCGUAUUUUCCGCUUCCUUUGGCGCUUUUGUGCUGAGCGACGGGCCGAGGCGGGUUAGGCUGGGCUUGUGUUUGCUUCACUUCGCUCUAGAUAAGUUUGCACUGUUUUUUUCAGCCUGCUACAAAAGAGCAGAGAAACGCUUUCUCUCCUGGACUGUGACGGCAGUCAAUGUUGGUGGAUUCGUCCUGAAUUCCAGCUGAACCCCAGAGACGUGGCUACGGCAUAUUGAUACAGGAUUUGCUAGCUGUAAAGGAAGCAGCGGUGAUGAACUUGAAGCUGAACGCUGGCCGUCGAUACAGUAGAUCUGCCCACGGAAGUGCUACUCAUGGACUCGCUGAUUGUGUGGAAGCCCUUGAGUGUAAACGCUUAUUGAUCGUCUGGACUGCCAAACUGAUAAAGGCUCAUCAGCUCUGAAGUGUGACUGCUGAGAGACCGCUCAGAAAACGAUCACACGCAUGAAACCACACAAACAAAUCCUCAGAUCACGACACGGCUGUUGAGACGAAAGAUGGACGAGAGAGUUCACAAUGUUUCUCAAUGUGUCCUGAAAUUUCAGAUCAGUUUAGUGUGUUCCUGAGAUGAACCACACAAUCUUUCCUUAAAAGUAGCUUCAUUAACUACUUUUAUUAAACACUUAAUAUUCAACAAUAUUAUUGAUUUGACUGCACUGACACUAUUGGAUGAGAACUGAACUGAGCUGGACAAUGACAUCACUGUUUUCUGCAGAACUGCUUAGAGAUGAAAAGAACUAAUUUAAUAAUUGAUUAUCUUUACAACGGAACUGAAUCAACACUGACCUUACUUCAGCUAAACAAUGGCACAAUUUUUUUUAGAGCUGCUGUACAACCAACAUGAACUCUGUUUGCAUCACUGAAUAUUAUCUGUAUUGUAUAAAGCGCUAUAUAAUUACAAGUGACUUGAUUAACCUUAUAGUAUAAAGCUUAUACUCUAUUAUAUUUGAUCAACUAUAUCACACUGUAAAAAAUUAAAAAAAAAUAAAAAAUAAUAAUAAUAAUAAUUUUGAAAAAUUGUGGAAACUGACAAUUACAUACUGGCUCAAUAAAUGACUUCCAAAUAAUUAACCCUAUUCAAAAAGAUGCAUUGUACCAAUCAUAGCUCAUGGUCUUGACUUAAAAUUAAAAAUGUGCGUAUAUUCACAGAACAUAUUUAAUCAGUCAAUCUAUCAACUCAAAGUGAAAAAUCUGUGUCAGCUGAACAAGUCCUACAUCCAAAAAAACUGUAUAUGCAUGCGCAAAUGCGGAUGUGUGGGAGACCAAAACAAAUAUCAUUCCCAAGAGAAUACAGAUAUUCAAUGUCACAAGUUUUCAAGACAUUAUGGUGAGUAUUGAGCACUGAAAUUAUUCUCCAAAGUUUUGCUUUAGGACCCAGUAUAAAGUUUAAAAGGCAUUUAGUAGAAUCACUAUGAAUUCAUGCAUUGAUUGGGUUCAUGAUUGUGUUUUUUCCCCGGGUACCACAUAAUUAUCUGAUGGUAGCCAAUAGUUUUAUUUUCCUUAUGUCAUAUAUAUAUAUAUAUAUAUAUAUAUAUAUAUAUAUAUAUAUAUAUAUAUAUAUACACAAAAUACUGUUUGAUCGACUUCUGAGAUGUAAUUUGUGUGAUAUGUGCACCAUGCGGCCACUGAACAGAGUAUCGUUAGAUUGCAGUUGACAUCAGCCCUUUUUCAGGGCUUAUUGACUUUUAAUAUCGACAAUGUCAAGCUUGUGAUUUUCUUAUUCAUCCAUUCAUUCAUUUUUUUUUUUUAAUUGCUUAUGUCAGUAAGUUUAAGCAGUCCUGAAAAACUGGAUAUAUUUCCAUACCAUGAAAUAAGCGAUAAAGCAAAAUCUGCAUAGACUGAAACAGGUCUCAUCCAUAUAAUUAAGUAACUUCUGUUCUGUCACUUGCCAGAUGUGAUGCAGGGGACUUUAUAAAUGAUCAACCUGAUCAAAACUGCUGAAGAACCUGUUGCACACAAUCUACUACAUGUCUUCUCUUGUCUGUAAUAUAUUAGCAAGUAAAUGGCCUUUAAGUAUAAUUGUAAAAACUUUCACCUUUAGGUCGUGGUUCACGUGUCUUUCUGCUAUGCAAUCUGUACUGAUUUUUAUAAAGUAAACUUAAGAAUCACUUUAAUACUGUUAGCAAUAUUUCAAGAUAACUUGAUAAGUUGAUUCAGUCCACUUACUGGACUGAGGCUUCUUAGGUUUACUUGGGUAUCCAUAUAUCAUUCUUUUUUUUUUUUUUUUUUUUUAGAAAAAUCAUAUUUAAAUGUGAGUAUCAAAUAUGAUGCAUCAGGCUUUUGAAGAGGAACGUUUAUUUGUUCAUCGCUCAAUCAUCAUUGUAUUGCAUUGCAUCAUUUUAAAACUUUGAUCAUAAAACUAAGCAUUUAAAUAUCAUCUUACUAAGACAUAUUAUUGGCAGAUAUAGAGUGACAACUGAUAUUUAUGUGCAUUUAAUGUAAGUAUUCUGCUAUACUGUUAUAAAGAUCUCAUUGAUUUACAUUACAAGCAUCUGAAUUUCAUCUUACUUUUGGUCCAUAUAAAUAUCAGCAUCUACAUCAAACUGCAUGUUUUUGCUCAGUUUGGGCCUCUGAAUAAAAUGUAGCUGUUUCUUUUAUUUUACUUUUUUUUUUUUUUUUUU